rnacentral:rRNA from 1 species
UCAAAACGACUCUCGGCAACGGAUAUCUCGGCUGACGCAUCGAUGAAGAACGUAGCGAAAUGCGAUACUUGGUGUGAAUUGCAGAAUCCCGUGAACCAUCGAGUCUUUGAACGCAAGUUGCGCCCGACGCCUUCGGGCUGAGGGCACGCCUGCCUGGGCGUCA